AUUAAGUGGUAGGGGAGCAUUCAGUCGGGUUGAAGCGGGAUGGUGAUGUUCCGUGGACUGAACUGAAAAGCAAAUGUAGGCAUAAGUAACGAUAAAUGGCGUGGAAAACGUCAUCGCCGUAAGACUAAGGGUUCCUUGAUCUACGUUCAUCGGAUCAGGGUUAGCCGGGACCUAAGGAUAAGCCGAAAGGUGAUUUCGAUGGAAAGUGGGUUAAUAUUCCUACGCCUGUGUAUACUGCGAGUUGGGGACGGAGUUGAAGAGUCAUCGCGUACUUACGGAAUAGUACGUUAAAGCGCAAGCGAUAGUACACUGAGGGCUUCGGCCUGAAGUGAUAGUGUGGCGAAUUGACUUCCAGGAAAAGCCGACAAAGCAUCAGGUAUAUACAGCCCGUACCGUAAACCGACACAGGUAGUCGAGGAGAGCAUCCUAAGGCGCUCGAGUGAUUCGUGGCUAAGGAACUAGGCAAAAUGGUCUCGUAACUUCGGGAGAAGAGACGCUCUCAGCAAUGAGAGCCGCAGUGAAGAGGCCCAGGCGACUGUUUAGCAAAAACACAGGGCUAUGCCAAAUCGUAAGAUGAUGUAUAUGGCCUGACACCUGCCCGGUGCCGGAAGGUUAAGGAAGGGGCUUAGUGCGCAAGUGCGAAGGUCUUAACUGAAGCCCCGGUAAACGGCGGCCGUAACUAUAACGGUCCUAAGGUAGCGAAAUUCCUUGUCGGGUAAGUUCCGACCUGCACGAAUGGUGUAACGAUCUGGGCACUGUCUCAGCCACGAGCUCGGUGAAAUUGAAGUAUCGGUGAAGAUGCCGAUUACCCGCAACGGGACGGAAAGACCCCGUGAACCUUUACUACAGCUUUGCAUUGGGCUUGACUAUUCGAUGCGUAGGAUAGGUGGGAGGCGCUGAUCUUGGUAUUCCGGUACUGAGGGAGUCGACGUUGAAAUACCACCCUUUGACUAGUUGAGUCCUAACGGAGAAAUCCAGACAGUGCAUGGUGGGUAGUUUGACUGGGGUGGUCACCUCCUAAAGAGUAACGGAGGUUUGCAAAGGUACCCUCAGCAUGGACGGUAAUCAUGCGAAGAGCGUAUUAGUAUAAGGGUGCUUGACUGAGAGACCGACGGGUCGAUCAGGGACGAAAGUCGGCUAAAGUGAUCCGGUGGUUCCGCAUGGAAGGGCCAUCGCUCAAAGGAUAAAAGGUACUCCGGGGAUAACAGGCUGAUCUCCCCCAAGAGCUCAUAUCGACGGGGAGGUUUGGCACCUCGAUGUCGGCUCGUCGCAUCCUGGGGCUGGAGAAGGUCCCAAGGGUUGGGCUGUUCGCCCAUUAAAGCGGCACGUGAGCUGGGUUCAGAACGUCGCAAGACAGUUCGGUCCCUAUCUGUUGUGGGCGCGGGAAGAUUGAAGAGACCUGACACUAGUACGAGAGGACCGUGUUGGACGAACCUCUUGUGUACCGGUUGUGCCGCCAGGUGCAUUGCCGGGUAGCAAUGUUCG
rnacentral:rRNA from 1 species